GUGGGGAAUCUUAGACAAUGGGGGAAACCCUGAUCUAGCCAUGCCGCGUGAGCGAUGAAGGCCUUAGGGUUGUAAAGCUCUUUCAGCUGGGAAGAUAAUGACGGUACCAGCAGAAGAAGCCCCGGCUAACUCCGUGCCAGCAGCCGCGGUAAUACGGAGGGGGCUAGCGUUGUUCGGAAUUACUGGGCGUAAAGCGCGCGUAGGCGGACCAGAAAGUUGGAGGUGAAAUCCCAGGGCUCAACCUUGGAACUGCCUUUGAAACUCCUGGUCUUGAGGUCGAGAGAGGUGAGUGGAAUUCCGAGUGUAGAGGUGAAAUUCGUAGAUAUUCGGAGGAACACCAGUGGCGAAGGCGGCUCACUGGCUCGAUACUGACGCUGAGGUGCGAAAGCGUGGGGAGCAAACAGGAUUAGAUACCCGAGUAGUCC
rnacentral:rRNA from 1 species